CUAUGUGUCUCUAUGGGGUCUCUAUAGGUCCCUAUGGGGUCUCUAUGGGGUCUCUAUGAGUCCCUAUGGGUCUCUAUGGGUCUCUAUGGUGUCACUAUGGGGUCCUAUGUGUCUCCAUGGGUCACUAUGGGUCUCUAUGGGUCUCUAUGGGUCUCUCUGGGGUCUCUAUGGGUCACUAUGGGGUCCUAUGUGUCUUUAUGGGUCUCUAUGUGGUCCCUAUGGGGUCUCUUUGGGUCUCUAUGGGGAGCUAUGGGGUCUCUAUGGGGUCACUAUGGGGUCCUAUGUGUCCCUAUGAGCUCUAUGGGGUCUCUAUGUGGAGCUAUGGGGUCCUAUGGGUCUCUAUGGGGAGCUAUGGGUCCCUAUGGGGCACUAUGGGGUCUCUAUGGGGUCACUAUGGGGGCACUAUGGGGUCUCUAUGGGUUCCUAUGGGGUCUCUAUGGUUCUCUAUGGGGUCCCUAUGGGUUGCUAUGGGUCCCUAUGGGUUGCUAUGGGUUGCUAUGGAGAUGCCGGUUGCCAUGGCGACGCAGCCCUUACGAAGCCGUUGCCCAUGAUGCGGUAGAGGCCUUUGAGCGACUCCAGGUCCUUGUUGGUGAAAUGGAACUGCACCAUGCGGGAGUUCCUGAACAGCGGCCCCAAAGUGGUCUGAAAACCA
rnacentral:lncRNA from 1 species